rnacentral:rRNA from 1 species
UACGAAGGGGGCUAGCGUUGCUCGGAAUUACUGGGCGUAAAGGGCGCGUAGGCGGAUAGUUUAGUCAGAGGUAAAAGCCCAGGGCUCAACCUUGGAACUGCCUUUGAUACUGGCUAUCUUGAGUACGGGAGAGGUGUGUGGAACUCCGAAUGUAGAGGUGAAAUUCGUAGAUAUUCGGAAGAACACCAGUGGCGAAGGCGACACACUGGCCCGUUACUGACGCUGAGGCGCGAAAGCGUGGGGAGCAAACAGGG